rnacentral:rRNA from 1 species
GUGGGGAAUCUUGGGCAAUGGGGGCAACCCUGACCCAGCGACGCCGCGUGAGUGAUGAAGGCCUUCGGGUUGUAAAGCUCUGUCAUUAGGGAAGAAGAAGUGACGGUACCUAAUGAGGAAGCCCCGGCUAACUACGUGCCAGCAGCCGCGGUAAUACGUAGGGGGCGAGCGUUGUCCGGAAUUACUGGGCGUAAAGGGUGCGUAGGCGGCGUGUUAAGUUGGAUGUGAAAUACCCGGGCUUAACCUGGGGGGUGCAUUCGAUACUGGCAGGCUAGAGUGCAGGAGAGGGAAGCGGAAUUCCUAGUGUAGCGGUGAAAUGCGUAGAUAUUAGGAGGAACACCAGUGGCGAAGGCGGCUUUCUGGACUGUAACUGACGCUGAUGCACGAAAGCGUGGGGAGCAAACAGGAUUAGAAACCCCGGUAGUCC